AUAUUAAAGGAGAAUGAUAUCAAUUCAACAACUGAACCUUCCACUGUAAUGAACUAUUAAAAGAAGAGCAAGUUCUCCCUCCCAGGUUAGCGUCUGGGACCUUCUGUGUCACUUCGGGCACAGCGCCGCUCACAUCAUGGCUUGGAUCCGGACUGCACAACAACCUUUCGAGAGACGUGGGUCUUUGGAGCCUCUUUAGUCCCGGAGCUCGGGCCGCAGGCAGCUCCGCGGCGGCGGACGGAAAGAACCUCUGGAAUGGACGGACUCUUCCUGAGCAGUUUUGCUAAUUUGCAGCAGCUGGACAAUGUUCCUCAUUGAUACCUGUCUGUCGGCAUAAUCGUCACAUCACCUCUCUGCUCUUGAGCCUAGUGGGCCUCUAGGCAAGAUGUCCCUGCCCAUCGGGAUGUACCGCCGGGCAUUCAGCUAUGAUGAUGCCCUCGAGGACCCUACGCCCAUGACUCCUCCUCCAUCGGACAUGGGCAGCAUCCCCUGGAAGCCAGUGAUUCCAGAGCGCAAGUAUCAGCACCUCGCCAAGGUGGAGGAGGGAGAGCCCGGCGUCUCCCCGCAUGCCCCGGCCCCGGCGUCGGCCAGCGACAGUGAGAAGGCCCCUGUGGUGAAGGCCAAAGCUACCCACAUCAUCAUGAGCUCUUUGAUCACAAAACAGACCCAGGAGGACAUUCAGCGUUUUGAGCAACAGGCAGGGCUGCGAGAUGCUGGCUCUACCCCUCACAAGGGCCUCAGCACUGAGGAGACCAAGUACCUUCGAGUGGCAGAAGCACUCCACAAACUAAAGCUCCAGAGUGGAGAGACAGCAAGAGAGGAGAGGCAGCCAGCCUCCACGCAGUCCACCCCGAGCAGCAGUCCCCAGGCCUCUCCUAAGCAGAAGACCAGAGGCUGGUUCACUUCUGGUUCUUCCACAGCCCUACCUGGCCCCAGUCUUAGCACCAUGGAUUCUGGAAGCGGGGAUAAAGACAGAAGUUCGACCGAUAAAUGGAGCCUCUUUGGACCAAGAUCGCUCCAGAAGUCUGAGUCAGGAGGCUUUGCCAUCCAAGCCUACCGAGGAGCUCAGAAGCCUUCUCCAAUGGAAGUGAUGCACGCACAAGCCGCCCGAAGGGCGGAGGAGCCAGCAGCGUCCAAGCCGCCCAAGAUGGACAUCCCAGCAACGGAAGGGACGAGACAGCUGCCGCGGGCCCACAGCCUCAAGCCCCGCGACCUGAAUGUUCUCACACCCACUGGCUUCUAGAGCUUUCUGUCCCAGGAACGCUGCAUUGAGGGUGUCGAGCCCAGCUCCCUUUACCGUGGCUAUGACAUAGGAAAAGUUUUGUCUUUGUGAAAAUCAAACUGAGGCUAGGAGGAGACAUAAUUGGUUUUUGCGAAACAUUAGUGCAAAGCUUAUCCUUGUGUGGAAAAGUCAUUUUUGUAUUGCUCUAGCUUUAGACUAAACUUGAGCAGUGAUGUAUGGGGACCUCCCUAGAACUGGGCCACCGCUUACUAGGUGACUGUCUGCAAUGUUCCAAAACCAAGGCUUCGGGAUUCCUUCAGCACUGUCCAGAUGCGCAUGGACAGACCACGGCGUAGGGACGUCCGCGGACGAGUGCAGGCGGCUUCGGCCUUCGCGGCUGUGCUGGCGCUGGGUGCUCCGGUCUGCUGUUAGGGAACCCUCGACCCGCUGGAGAUGUGGGUGCAGCUAGGAGCCAGCCGGGCAGGGACCCCCUGUUUGUGCUGGCACCAGCCUCCUCGCGUUCUGGGGGACCUCACGGGCCCCUGAGUUCCGCAGCCAGCCCUUCCUCUGGGACCUCUGGGGCCCGUGCUGCGGGAGGGGUGCUUCUCUUCUGCGUGUCACAGAACAAACACUAGUCUCAACAUAUCCUUUGUUGCACUUUAAAGUGAGAUUAAUUUAACUUCCGUUUGGUUGAAAACUUCCUAAGGAGAAAAUUCAGUCUACUGGCUUGCUAUAGAUAAAUGGAUGUUAAACUUUUUAAAAAAAGAGGUGGCAACUGCGGUUUGGAUAUAGUCUUGAGGUUCAUAUGAAACUAGUGUCACUCUAUUUUGAUUUUCUUGUUCAGGCUAGGGCUUGAAAAUUUUUUUCCUGGGAGGUGGAAGAAUUAAAAUAUUUCUGUCUGCAAUCAUUUUCCCCUCAAAUGAGCCUCAUACCUUUGUAAACAUGUACCUUACUGAGGAAAGGAACUGGGGAAGCCACGUUUUCACUUCUCUUCACUGUGUACAUGUACAACCACUGUCUUCAACGCUGUCUCCCAUUCCUGCUGUCUUUUGCUUUGUACGUUAUUGUGUCUACUCAAGGAGCUGAGCUGACCUUCCCCCAGAGGCACCCUGGAGUCUCAAAUGAUCAGAAUGAAUUUAUUUGUGUCUUCUGUUAUGCUUGUAUCUCUUACUUGUUUUGACAAUAAAAAUCCUUACUACUUUCUCAAAAAAAAAAAAAAAAAA